rnacentral:rRNA from 1 species
AGUGAACGCUGGCGGUAGGCCUAACACAUGCAAGUCGAACGGCAGCACAGUAAGAGCUUGCUCUUACGGGUGGCGAGUGGCGGACGGGUGAGGAAUACAUCGGAAUCUACUUUUUCGUGGGGGAUAACGUAGGGAAACUUACGCUAAUACCGCAUACGACCUACGGGUGAAAGCAGGGGAUCUUCGGACCUUGCGCGAUUGAAUGAGCCGAUGUCGGAUUAGCUAGUUGGCGGGGUAAAGGCCCACCAAGGCGACGAUCCGUAGCUGGUCUGAGAGGAUGAUCAGCCACACUGGAACUGAGACACGGUCCAGACUCCUACGGGAGGCAGCAGUGGGGAAUAUUGGACAAUGGGGGCAAGCCUGAUCCAGCCAUACCGCGUGGGUGAAGAAGGCCUUCGGGUUGUAAAGCCCUUUUGUUGGGAAAGAAAAGCAGCAGGUUAAUACCCCGCUGUUCUGACGGUACCCAAAGAACAAGCACCGGCUAACUUCGUG